AACGUAGGAGACAACCGUUAUCCGGAGUUACUGGGCGUAAAGGGCGUGUAGGUGGUUUCGUAAGUCUGGCGUGAAAUAUCUCGGCUUAACCGAGGCAGGUCGUCGGAUACUGCGGGACUAGAGGACGGUAGAGGCGUGUGGAAUUCCGGGUGUAGUGGUGAAAUGCGUAGAGAUCCGGAGGAACACCAGUGGCGAAGGCGACACGCUGGGCCGUACCUGACACUGAUGCGCGAAAGCAUGGGGAGCAAACAGG
rnacentral:rRNA from 1 species